rnacentral:hammerhead_ribozyme from 1 species
AGGCGAAACAGCCUCUCAGGGGCUGUCGUCGGACGGUUGUGCCUCCGGCCUGAUGAGCUAGCUAGAC